GGUGGGUUCUAGGGUUUCGACUCUAGAUUUUGUGCGAGAGAAAAAUAUAAGAGUGUCUUGUUCCAAGCUCUUACACCACUACCUCUUCGUAAAGCUUCAUCUUCUAAUCUAGAAAAUUUUCGAUGAUCCAAAAGAAGGAGCUUGAAUCAGCCAUCCAGAGUCUUUGGCAUGAGCUAGCACUCCCAGAAUGGAUGAUCCGAUCAGGAC
rnacentral:lncRNA from 1 species